GGAAUUUCCUGGUGAGCACCUCCAAGGUGUUGGGACAUUUUGCAGCUGGCCAAGUUCUACCAAAGUGAGCAAUUGUUGCUUCUGAUCUCCAGAACGGCCUUUUGCUCAUCAGUUCCACUUCGUGGAUUUUCGUCCAAUUCAUUGCAGAAUUUGGAGAAGUGAACAUCUGGAAGGAUGGCUAUGUUCUUGCUGACAUCUUGGUUCAAGAAUAUGAAAUGAAGCUGUUGAAAAGCAGGAAAAGUGAAUUAUGCACUCUGGCUCAUUCAGGCUCAAAUGGAAGGGAUAGUUUGAUUCAUCAAUCAACCAAGAAAAAUCCUGUGUAGCAGCCUAGAUUAUAAGG